CGUGACGGAAGGAUAUGUUACACCGGUACAAAAUUCGUUCGAUUGUCGGUAUGACUUCGAGAUGUAAGAGCCAAUCGAAUUACGUAUACGCAAAUCAGCUGGUUUAAUAUUUAUAUAGAAUACGAGGAAUUUGGAGGUCGAGUUUACGUUUGAUGUUUGUUGUCGAUCUCUCGACGAGCAUAUCCCCUCCAUACCAAUUUCGAUAAUCGAAAUUGUGCCGCGAGCCAUGUCAUUGUGUCUUUGAAAUUCGUGCCGAUUAGACGCUUCGAUUUGUAACAGAAGCUAAUUGUCGAUAGCUCAAGAAAGGAUAAAAAAGAUAAAAAGGAUUCAAACAUGGACGCCACGAUGACUUGUAAAUUUCAACGCAAUAAAAUGGUGACUUUUUGAGGAUAAGUGGUAACAUUUUUGUACGAGAAAUACGUACAUUUUUCUUCUUUUUAUUCGAUUACAUCUUUUUAUUUGAUUAUUAUUGACUUGUUAAGUAAUUCAUAAUAUAUCGAUACAAUAAUUGCGAAUAUCAAACAAAUUAAAUUUUUAUUUCAAAUACUUUUUUAAUUUUAAAUAGAUUAAAUUUAUAUUUUCAAUAACUUUCAAUUCAUAGAAAUAACAGCUUCAGAAUAAUAAUAGUAGUUUCUUGAACAAAUGCUUGAUAGGAAAAAAAAAGAAAAUGUUGAAACGAUAUUUUCUUUUUUUUUUAUCCCACCUUUCCCUAUUUUUGACCGCGCGCAAUGCGGUUAGUAGAAUCAGUGUUUUUUUCGUGACAGUAUUUUCAAUAUUCUUUAGAGCAAUGGCUCUAAUUUAAUUAUUAUAAUAUCUCGCGAAAGUAGAAUCAGUGUUUGUUCGCCGAUUGUUAUUCAAACGGACGGGUCAGUAGUCUUUUAUUUUAUUUUAUUUUUCUGUAAAUAUUCGUUUUCGGUAUAGGGUAAAGUCAGUGCAUCAAGAGAAUAAGGCGAUCA